UGACCAGCAAAUCCUAUCCCUACCUCCUCGUGGUACUGGCCGGGGUACGAGUAACCUUGGGAAAGAUCGAGUAACCAACCCCGGUGGAAUCGUGGUGGGUGGG
rnacentral:ribozyme from 1 species